rnacentral:rRNA from 1 species
GACGAACGCUGGCGGCGUGCUUAACACAUGCAAGUCGAACGGAAAGGCCCUGCUUUUGUGGGGUGCUCGAGUGGCGAACGGGUGAGUAACACGUGAGUAACCUGCCCUUGACUUUGGGAUAACUUCAGGAAACUGGGGCUAAUACCGGAUAUGAGCACCUGCUGCAUGGUGGGGGUGGGAAAGUUUCGGCGGUUGGGGAUGGACGCGCGGCUUAUCAGCUUGUUGGUGGGGUAGUGGCUUACCAGGGCUUUGACGGGUAGCCGGACUGCGAGGGUGACCGGCCACAUUGGGACUGAGAUGGGACCAGGACUCAUACGGGAGGAAGCAGUGGGAAAUAUUGCACGAUGGGCGGAAGCCUGAUGCAGCAACGCCGCGUGCGGGAUGACGGCCUUCGGGUUGUAAACCGCGUUCGCCUGCGACGAAGCGUGAGUGACGGUAAUGGGUAAAGAAGCACCGGCUAACUACGUG